rnacentral:lncRNA from 1 species
GGGAGGGAGGGGGCCUUGAAUUUAGUCCCACAUCGGCUAGUAGCGGAAAGGUUCCAUGCCUUAAAUGGGGGGUGGAAAUCCUUUCCUCUCGAGGCGCCCUUUCCGAAGGGACAAAGCCGUGAGGGGUGGAAAGGGUGGUUCCACCCGGGGCGCCACAAAGUGGACCCCCGGGAGCGGUCGACGAUCCCCGAUCCCCGAAGCGGACAAUAUUUUCUGGAGCAGAGCUCUGCCACUGAGCUACGGGCGCACCCUACUCAGUUGGUAUUCUCCUCUAGGAGGCGCCUUUUGAAGGGCAAACCCGUGAGGGCACCAGUCUCUCCCCGUCAGCGCUGGACGCGCGGGCCGGAGCGCCUAAAGCGGACAAUACCUCGGGAGGAACGUGGUCCUCUUUCUCUGCUAGCUUAAUGUGGGCUAUGCUGUUGCGCGAGGCUCCGGCCAAAGCGCCGUCCCCGCAACAGU